AGAGGUGGCUGAGUGGUCGAAGGCACCGCACUCGAAAUGCGGCGUGCGGGAAACUGCACCGUGGGUUCAAAUCCCACCCUCUCCGCCA
rnacentral:tRNA from 1 species